UUUGUAUCUGAACUGUAUGCAUGCGGAUCAGUAACUAUUCUGUAUUUUCAAAUUGUACUUGAUCUGAAGCAGAUUUCAGCCAAUUACUGUACUGUUAGUUUUUUAUUGAUACACAAGUGUACAACGGACAGAACAGUAUCUGAUGUGUUAAGAGAUCAUGUAUGAUGUAUCAGACCAGAAGCUUAAAAUAGAGCACAUGAGAGAGCACAUGUAGUAAUAAAACAAAGCAAAGCAAAGCAAAAUGUCUUCCCCAGAUAGCCAGCUCCUACAGUCGAUAUUAGAUGAGUUAAAAAGUGAGUGUAUAAGUUACAGCAUGAUUAUACAUAAUUAUAUAGACUUUUCCUCAUUGACAUGACUUGUAUAAUAAUAUAGCUGUUCAGUACCUUAUAGAUCUACUUUAUACAAUGCACCAUUGUCCAGCAAUCAUGCACCUACGAUUAUUAUAGGUUUACGUUUCAAUAUCAGCACCAUUGAUAAAAAACUAACAACGCUAACGAAACUCCAGGGAAACAUUGAGUCAGCUGCAGACUCAGAUUCAAGCACUUCAAGUCCUAGGAAAUGCCUCACUUUUGAUGCUCCUCGCAGGGAUCUCAA